rnacentral:rRNA from 1 species
GAUGAACGCUGGCGGCGUGCCUAAUACAUGCAAGUAGAACGCUGAAGGAAGGAGCUUGCUCUUUCCGGAUGAGUUGCGAACGGGUGAGUAGCGCGUAGGUAACCUGCCUGGUAGCGGGGGAUAACUAUUGGAAACGAUAGCUAAUACCGCAUAACAGUAGAUGUUGCAUGAUAUCUACUUAAAAGGUGCAAUUGCACCACUACCAGAUGGACCUGCGUUGUAUUAGCUAGUUGGUGAGGUAACGGCUCACCAAGGCGACGAUACAUAGCCGACCUGAGAGGGUGAUCGGCCACACUGGGACUGAGACACGGCCCAGACUCCUACGGGAGGCAGCAGUAGGGAAUCUUCGGCAAUGGACGGAAGUCUGACCGAGCAACGCCGCGUGAGUGAAGAAGGUUUUCGGAUCGUAAAGCUCUGUUGUAAGAGAAGAACGAGUGUGAGAGUGGAAAGUUCACACUGUGACGGUAUCUUACCAGAAAGGGACGGCUAACUACGUG